rnacentral:sRNA from 1 species
ACUGUGUACAGUGCCCUGGGCCUGAGGGAUGCCUGCCGCUCCCUGCCGCAGUCCAUCCAGCUCUUUCGGGACAUUGCCCAAGAGUUCUCUGAUGACCUGCACCAUAUCGCCAGCCUCAUUGGGAAAGUAAAAAGCGAAGACUGAUGGGACUUCCCAGUUUCCUUACUGAGGUUGCCCGCAAGGAGCUGGAGAAUCUGGACUCCCGUAUUCCUUCAUGCAGUGUCAUCUACAUCCCUCUGAUUGGCUUCCUUCUUUCUAUUCCCCGCCUGCCUUCCAU